rnacentral:rRNA from 1 species
UACGGAGGGAGCUAGCGUUAUUCGGAAUUACUGGGCGUAAAGCGCACGUAGGCGGCUUUGUAAGUAAGAGGUGAAAGCCCAGAGCUCAACUCUGGAAUUGCCUUUUAGACUGCAUCGCUUGAAUCAUGGAGAGGUCAAUGGAAUUCCGAGUGUAGAGGUGAAAUUCGUAGAUAUUCGGAAGAACACCAGUGGCGAAGGCGGCUGACUGGACAUGUAUUGACGCUGAGGUGCGAAAGCGUGGGGAGCAAACAGG